GUCAAUGGCCCAGCUUUCUGGACAAACAGAAAUCCUUCCCUGAGAGCAUGGUGGUGGCUCCUCCUGGUGCAGAUAGAGCAGUGCUCUGUGACAUGACCUCUCCCUGCUGCUGUCCUCUUCAGUGCUCACUUCAAGGAGACCUCCUGGCUGCUUGGGACCAACACGUAGAGCACAGCUCAUCCCUAGAAUUGAUUCAUACGUGCUGAGGAAAGGAAGCAUGAUCAAGAUUUCCAUCCCUUGGCCUUUCUUUCCAAGGGAACUGUGUACAGUUUUGAGACUUACCUUUUUUUGUAUUGGCUGUUCCCAGAAGAGCGGGUACAACAAAAACUAUAGAAGGUCAUCUAAAGUGAAAACUACCAAUUUAGAGUGACUUCCUCAUUCUCAACACCUAUGUAUUUGAGACAUGUUUUCUGGAAGUUGAAUGAUAAAAAUCUCCAGCCAUGCUCAUCAGACCACACCAGUACUUCUGGAGAGCAGCAGCUGUGGCAGUGGUCUUUUAUUGCUAAUAAAGCCAAGUACCACUACUAUUCUGCAUCACAAAUUUUUGUUCCCCCUCUUCCCUAAGAAUGGGAUGGUUUGCAUCACCAACUCCUCUGAAGAUAAACUUAACAGAAGUAUUUGUGAGGAGCUGCAAGGCAUUAAGUGUAACUGAUGCUGCAGUAUUUAGGAAGACUGAUACCUAUGUAACAACAAACCUGAGUGUGUGUGUAACAUUCCUGCAUUUUGCUUCAGUGUGGCAAAAAGCAAGUUUGGCGUUUUCCUUUACUGUGUAAGAAAAAUUGUAUUUGCUUUUAUUGUAAAAUGCAAAACCCUUGAGAACCUUAACUGUGUGAUAACAGGUAAUUUUUUGCUAUGUAGCACACAGUUUAUGCUAUUAUCCACACUAUACUUUAUUGUCUUCCAUGUGUAAGCAAUGCC